CUUAAUGAAAAGUCUGUAACAUAGUUUUGUUAAAAUUUCUCAAAGUCACCAGUCCAGUCUGUGCUGAAAUGCCACUGUCAAUCAAACUACCUUGGGAGUGGCCUGUCUGUGUGACAUUACAAAAACAUGCAUCUGAGAUCAGCUCGAUUUGAGAAAAAGAUUUUAGUAGAUAAAAAAAUAAAAAAAAUACUUCGUAUUUAAAAUGAGUAGUAAUUUUACUCCCAGUCAUGAGGGGGUGUGAGGGAGUCAUUGUCAAAAAAGUUUCUCUAGAUCAGAGAAUAAGAGGAGUAGGAAGUUUGAGCAAGGACACUUGUGAGCUAGGAGUAUUUGCUCUCCCCAUGCUUACUCAAACCCUUAUUGAGGAACAAUGGUGUUCUACAUCUCAAUGUGCUACUAACUUCCUCCGGGGGCAGAGACAUGCUUUGAAUGCCUUCUAAAUCAGGAUUAAUGGAUUGUGACACUGGGGCAUUGGGCUGGCGAGUGAAAUUGUUACUGAUGAUUUUGUCACAAAGUAAAAAAUGGUGAGUAAUCAUAUUUGAGACAAAGCAUCAAUAUUUAGGUGUAAAAGUUGAUUUCUGCUGAGAUUUGGAAUCGUAUUAAGACUGGAGACAU
rnacentral:lncRNA from 1 species